rnacentral:lncRNA from 1 species
AUAUAGUCUGGUAACAGCGCGAGUAAACUAUAAAAUUUACAACACAUGGUUUUUUUUUUUUUUUUUUUUUUUGGUUUCGUUAGAGCAUAUUGUAUGUGUGCUUCUUGAUACGGGGAAGUGACUAGCUAUAUAUGCUAAUGGGCCAAUGAAGCAGGCCUGUAAAUGGCUAUUUGGCCCAUUAUUCCUACACACGUUUCAUCACUCGUUGAGGUUUCAUUAGAAAAGUUGGAAGUUUGAGUUGUUAGCAUAAAAUCUUGCUCUCACAGGUUCCACUUGUUUUCUUCUCUCAAGAGUUCACAGGUUAUCUUUUCUUUUUAGACACCAAUUCACAGGUUAUCUAAUGUGACCUUUUGGCUUUACUCUUUCAUGCUUCACAUGCUCUGUACCAAUUUUUUUUUUUUUUGGGCAAAGCUCUGUACCAUUAUAUAAAACAAAACCAUAACGACAAAUGCAUGUCCUAUCUUCACUCUCUUCAAAUUUCAGUGUACAGAAGAUUAAAAUGCAAUAAAUCUUGAAAAUUUUCUUCCUUUUGAAUAUUCUUACUCCACAAGCAAAGAAGAGAUAACAAGACAGACAAAAAACACACAAUAGUUACAAGCAAAACAACCAUCAAACUAAGCCAUUAAAAACGAAUCCAUGAUUCAGUGUAUUUGUUCCUUCUUUUACUUUUGGGUGUUUCAUUCUCUGGUAAUGACAUUCUCUGUUCUACUACAGCAC